CUUUAGUUCUUAAAAAGGUGGCACAGUCUCUAGUUCAUUUGUAAAACGGUUAUUCACAAUACGUCGAUGAUGGAUGUUCACUGCCUGUUGCGAGUUUGGAGCGGAGUUGGGUUCUCUCUCUCUUCUCAAUGACGUCUGUUCCCUUCCAAAGUUUCACCACGACUCCCCGAUUUUUCGAUGUCUUCAAUAUUAUAUUUUGAUUUCUUUCACCCCAGUUACAUUCCUUAGGUCUCGGCUUACUACCACCUGCAUGUUACCCGAUUCUUACUCUAACAUCAUAAUUUACCAAUACAUCGAAACUUUGUUUAGACUAAUUGGAAAUGGAGGAGAACAGAGGACCUC
rnacentral:lncRNA from 1 species